AGCGAAAUAGAAAGAAAAAUGGAGAAGGCACUCAACAGACAGAAGGUUCUUCUUCAACAUUUGCAACCCAGCUCUUCUUCUGGAUCUGCUUCACUUUCUACUUCAGUAUGUGCUGCUGGAGAAAGUGCUUCAAAUUCUUACCAUAGAACUGCUGCUUUUGGGGAUGAUAUUGUCAUUGUAGCAGCAAAUCGUACAGCAAUAUGCAGAGCAAAGAAAGGGGGUUUCAAGGAUACUCCUGCGGAGGAUCUUCUUGCAUCUGUUUUAAAGGCUGUGAUUGAGAAAACAAAGUUGAAUCCGAUUGAAGUUGGUGAUAUAGUAGUUGGUACAGUUUUGGCUCCUGGCUCUAUAAGAGCCUCUGAGUGCAGGAUGGCAGCUUUCUGUGCUGGCUUCCCUGAUACGGUAAGCAUAAGAACUGUCAACCGACAGUGCUCGUCGGGACUUCAAGCAGUUGCUGAUGUAGCUGCAGCCAUCAAAGUUGGUUACUAUGAUAUUGGUAUUGGAGCUGGGUUGGAGUGCAUGAGUAUUAAUGACAUUGAAUUUGCUGUUAGCGACAGUCCCAACGUAAAUGGCAUUCAACAAGCUCGAGAUUGUAUGCUUCCUAUGGGCAUCACUUCUGAAAAUGUUGCCCAACAAUACGGUGUGACUAGGGAAGAGCAAGAUCAAGCUGCUGUUGAAUCGCAUCGGCGUGCUGCUGCAGCAAGUGCCUCUGGCAAAUUCAAAGAUGAGAUCAUCCCUGUUUACACGAAGAUCAUCGACCCAAAAUCUGGUGUUGUGAAGCCCGUGAUUGUAUCUGUCGAUGAUGGCAUACGGCCAAGCACAAACAUGGAAAUUUUGGCAAAGCUGAAGCCAGCUUUCAAGAAAAAUGGCUGCACAACAGCAGGGAACUCUAGUCAAGUUAGUGACGGAGCUGCUGCAGUCCUUCUCAUGAAAAGAAGCUUAGCUAUUCAGAAGGGACUUCCUAUUCUUGGUGUCUUCAGGAGUUUUUCAGUAGUUGGUGUGGAUCCGGCAGUAAUGGGAAUUGGACCAGCUGUUGCAAUUCCGGCGGCAGUUAAAUCUGCUGGUCUUACUCUCCAAGAUAUUGACCUUUUUGAAAUUAAUGAGGCAUUUGCAUCUCAGUAUGUGUAUUGCUGUAAGAAACUAAAGCUUGAUACUGAAAAGGUGAAUGUUAAUGGCGGUGCAAUUGCUCUGGGCCAUCCUUUGGGCGCAACUGGUGCUCGAUGUGUGGCAACACUCUUGAGUGAAAUGAAGCGUCGAGGAAGGGACAGCCGAUUUGGGGUGAUCUCCAUGUGCAUAGGCACAGGGAUGGGCGCUGCAGCUGUGAUUGAAAGAGGUGACUACGUUGAUGAGUUUUGCAAUGCAAGGCCAAGCUUUCACUAAAAUUUAAAUGUUGUUGCCUCGUACUUGAUUCCAGUUCCUAAAGUAUGGUCCUCUUCCAUGGGUGUUGUAGGCAUAUGUGGCUUUCCUCUUUUUGAGUGGAGCAAUUGAGGAUCAACAAGACUGCUAGAGUGCAACGGCCUUACGACCGCAAAAGCGAAUGUAAGUCGUUCCUUCAAAUGACAACACAAUCUUGUUGAAGAACGCAGUCGUCUAGUAGACUGUGUUGAGUUGUUUAGAGAAAUACACGCCAGUAGGACUGAUGAGUUCGUUUCACAGGUGGCAGUGGAUGCCCAUUUGAAUAUUUGAACUUCAGUCCUAGCCCACCCAAAGGAUUCGCAAUCACUCUUUGGAGAUGACAUAUGCGAGAUCGUCUUCGGUAGUCGAUCGGGCUACUUAAAAGGUCUUGGUUGGGGCCCUAUGCCCAAGUCUCGGAAGAGUACUACUUCCAGUUAUUCCUCUUCUUAUCAUGAGAUGCGCUCCAGAGAGAUUAGCAAACUAAAGGCUAGCCUUGAAAAUGCUAACUGUCUAAUUGAAGAACAACGAAUAAGGGAAGAGGAGCAUGACUAACAAAUGAUCGAGACUACUCAUUAAAUGAAGGAGAUGAGGAAGAUGAUCGAGGAGAUGAGUUGGACAUAAAGAGGACCAUAAAGGUGCUUGGGUACAUAUUUUUCAACUUUUAAUUCGAUUAAUUUCUCAUGUAUGAUAUAUAUCUAACUGUACUUUUAUGUUAUUUGUAGGCUUAGAAACCUUUCUUUUUGCAUGGUCGAGGUUUUAGGAGAGGUUGAUGUAGUUUUAUUGUUUUAAUGUAUUCCUUUUGAACAAUCUGAACAAUAUUAAUUGUAAUUGUUAUUAGACAUUUAGAUGAAGUAUUUUUAUUUAUGAACUGCAAAUUUUUAUUUUAA